GGCGCGAUGGCCGAGCGGUCUAAGGCGCCAGAAUCAGGCUGUUGUCUAUCUGGUCUUCACGGGCGGGGGUUCGAAUCCCCCUCGCGUCA
rfam:Fibulorhizoctonia sp. CBS 109695 unplaced genomic scaffold FIBSPscaffold_228, whole genome shotgun sequence.